UACAGAGGAGGCAAGCGUUGUUCGGAUUCAUUGGGCGUAAAGGGUGCGUAGGUGGUUGGGUAAGUCAAAUGUGAAAUCCCGGAGCUCAACUCCGGAACUGCAUUCGAUACUGCCCGGCUCGAGGAUUGGAGAGGAGACUGGAAUUCACGGUGUAGCAGUGAAAUGCGUAGAGAUCGUGAGGAACACCCGUGGCGAAGGCGGGUCUCUGGACAAUUCCUGACACUGAGGCACGAAGGCCAGGGGAGCAAACGGG
rnacentral:rRNA from 1 species